GGUGCCAUACCCAAGUGGCUAGGGAGCGGUCUGCAAAACCGUCAACCCCGGUUCGAAUCCGGGUGGCACCU
rnacentral:tRNA from 1 species